GACGAACGCUGGCGGCGUGCCUAAUACAUGCAAGUCGAACGAACUCUGGUAUUGAUUGGUGCUUGCAUCAUGAUUUACAUUUGAGUGAGUGGCGAACUGGUGAGUAACACGUGGGAAACCUGCCCAGAAGCGGGGGAUAACACCUGGAAACAGAUGCUAAUACCGCAUAACAACUUGGACCGCAUGGUCCGAGNUUGAAAGAUGGCUUCGGCUAUCACUUUUGGAUGGUCCCGCGGCGUAUUAGCUAGAUGGUGNGGUAACGGCUCACCAUGGCAAUGAUACGUAGCCGACCUGAGAGGGUAAUCGGCCACAUUGGGACUGAGACACGGCCCAAACUCCUACGGGAGGCAGCAGUAGGGAAUCUUCCACAAUGGACGAAAGUCUGAUGGAGCAACGCCGCGUGAGUGAAGAAGGGUUUCGGCUCGUAAAACUCUGUUGUUAAAGAAGAACAUAUCUGAGAGUAACUGUUCAGGUAUUGACGGUAUUUAACCAGAAAGCCACGGCUAACUACGUGCCAGCAGCCGCGGUAAUACGUAGGUGGCAAGCGUUGUCCGGAUUUAUUGGGCGUAAAGCGAGCGCAGGCGGUUUUUUAAGUCUGAUGUGAAAGCCUUCGGCUCAACCGAAGAAGUGCAUCGGAAACUGGGANACUUGAGUGCAGAAGAGGACAGUGGAACUCCAUGUGUAGCGGUGAAAUGCGUAGAUAUAUGGAAGAACACCAGUGGCGAAGGCGGCUGUCUGGUCUGUAACUGACGCUGAGGCUCGAAAGUAUGGGUAGCAAACAGGAUUAGAUACCCUGGUAGUCCAUACCGUAAACGAUGAAUGCUAAGUGUUGGAGGGUUUCCGCCCUUCAGUGCUGCAGCUAACGCAUUAAGCAUUCCGCCUGGGGAGUACGGCCGCAAGGCUGAAACUCAAAGGAAUUGACGGGGGCCCGCACAAGCGGUGGAGCAUGUGGUUUAAUUCGAAGCUACGCGAAGAACCUUACCAGGUCUUGACAUACUAUGCAAAUCUAAGAGAUUAGACGUUCCCUUCGGGGACAUGGAUACAGGUGGUGCAUGGUUGUCGUCAGCUCGUGUCGUGAGAUGUUGGGUUAAGUCCCGCAACGAGCGCAACCCUUAUUAUCAGUUGCCAGCAUUAAGUUGGGCACUCUGGUGAGACUGCCGGUGACAAACCGGAGGAAGGUGGGGAUGACGUCAAAUCAUCAUGCCCCUUAUGACCUGGGCUACACACGUGCUACAAUGGAUGGUACAACGAGUUGCGAACUCGCGAGAGUAAGCUAAUCUCUUAAAGCCAUUCUCAGUUCGGAUUGUAGGCUGCAACUCGCCUACAUGAAGUCGGAAUCGCUAGUAAUCGCGGAUCAGCAUGCCGCGGUGAAUACGUUCCCGGGCCUUGUACACACCGCCCGUCACACCAUGAGAGUUUGUAACACCCAAAGUCGGUGGGGUAACCUUUUAGGAACCAGCCGCCUAAGGUGGGACAGAUGAUUAGGGUGAAG
rnacentral:rRNA from 2 species